rnacentral:lncRNA from 1 species
CCUCACCCACUUAUAGCCUCCCCCACCAUCAACCUCCURCAUCAGAGUGGUAUAUUUGUCAUCAUCAACCCACACUGGCAUAUCCUAUCACCCCAAGUCCAUGCUUCACAUUACUGUUCACACUUGGUUAUAUACAUUUCUUGAGAGUUGUGAUUUUUUACACCAGCAAAUGUCCCCGGGGAAAGCACAUCCACAUGAUUUGAGGCAAAACUAGCAAUGCUAAUCUAUUUUCAAAUGAAUGUGUUCUUUGGAGAAGUGUGUUUGAGAUUGGGUACACAUAUAAAAGAAAGAAGUUGAGUCAUGGAGGGAGGARAGAAAGAGAGAGAAAAGAAAGGACCAUCCACUCACCCAGGCAACUCCCACCCCCAGUCUCUGAAGUCUUUGAAGAUGAAGCCUUCUGGGAAGUUGGCAGUCCUGAGGGCCCAGGGCAAUGCUGAAAUGCCCUUCCAAACAAGGACCCAAACAGCUGAAGGGCUCCAGUUACCCAAGAGUUCCUUCAGCUGUUUAAAAAUUAUUGCAAAUAAUUGCCUUCAUCCUAGUGGUAACCGUUAUCCUGAAGUUGGUGAGUAUCUUCCUGGUCCAGUGUUUUAUAGUUUUCCAGUUAACUCUUAUCUUUUUUGAGAUACACAUAGCUCUAAUUCCUUUGUUUUCAUUGCUGCAUAGCAUUCCAUUAUUUAAGACAAUUCUAAUUUUUCUCUAUUGUGAAAGUUGUUGCUGCAUUGAACAUCCAAAUUUAUGUCUUUUUGUGCACUUGAAUAAGAAUCCAUCCAAAGGAUUUUCCUAGGAGUGGGAUUACUGAGUCCACUGGAAAACCUCUUAAAAAUAGAAUGAAAGAGAAAGAGAGAAAUGGACAAAGUCUUAGGUUUUGUCCCAGGAC